GAUGAACGCUAGCGGCAGGCUUAACACAUGCAAGUCGAGGGGCAUCGCGAUCUUCGGAUUGGCGGCGACCGGCGCACGGGUGCGUAACGCGUAUGCAACCUACCUUUCACAGGGGGAUAAUCCGGAGAAAUCUGGUCUAAUACCCCAUAAUACUAGAGAUGGCAUCGUUUUUAGUUGAAAUUUUCGGAGGUGAAAGAUGGGCAUGCGUGACAUUAGCUGGUUGGUAAGGUAACGGCUUACCAAGGCAACGAUGUCUAGGGGGACUGAGAGGUUAACCCCCCACACUGGUACUGAGACACGGACCAGACUCCUACGGGAGGCAGCAGUGAGGAAUAUUGGUCAAUGGACGGAAGUCUGAACCAGCCAUGCCGCGUGCAGGAUGACGGCUCUAUGAGUUGUAAACUGCUUUUAUACGAGGGUAAAGUGAGGUACGUGUACCUUUUUGAAAGUAUCGUAUGAAUAAGGAUCGGCUAACUCCGUGCCAGCCGCCGCAGUAAAAC
rnacentral:rRNA from 1 species